rnacentral:lncRNA from 1 species
AUCACAAAUACUCACUAAUAUAUCUAACCCGAUGACAUACAACAUGGAUAACAAAUUUAACAUAUCACGGUUAUGUUGAGAUCUUAUGAAUUACAAAAACAUGUUAUAUAACACAUGGAUUUAAAAUGACAAAAAAUAUACUCAGACAAAUAACAUAUCACAUUCAAUGCAUUACAUCAGACAAACACUCCAACUAGUUUGUGAGGUGUUAUAGAAAAUAAACUAGCCCAAACAAUGAUUAGACAACACAUCACUAUUAAGCUCAAAUGGCAAAGAACGAUCUCAAACUUCCCAAUUAUUAAGCAGUAUUAUCGACCAAAUAUGAUGUUAAGUUAGGCUUAAUAAAAACAUCUCACUUCACCGCAUUGCCAUUAAAUUUUAUGGUCAUUUUGCAAUCAUCCUCAAGAUCUAUUGGAAAUAUAAAUCAGUAGUUGUGCGGAAAAAAUUAAUUUAACUAUCAAAAUCAAUUCGGCCACCACUAACUCAAGCCAUUGCCAACCACCAUACUUGUCGUCAUCCGUGGUGACGGACUCUCAAAUUUGGUAUAUUCACUACCCUCAAUCAACGACACUUCUUACACCACAAAAAAUCCACUGUCAUCAAUGAACUCAAGAAAAAUCCAACAAAAUCCUCAAACGAAAGCCUACUUUCUUUUGUCGGCGAUGAUGACUCAUCGAAAACAUCCUUUACUUACCCUUUCUCCAGUUCUUCAUCUUCGGGAUUUUCCAAAUCAAAGCACUGGAAGCUAGCGAAACUAAAGCUUGAACCUGUGAUAAACUUGAAAACUUGAAGUUUCGGCUUGAUCAAUUCUAAAAGCACAGGAUAGUACUCAAAAAUGGAUCUAGAGACUAAUACUGGCCAAUAAUGCUACAUGUACAAAUCUGAGUUACAAAGCAUAUUGACAAAAUUACGUGGACGGCUGAUAUUAAAAGGCGUUGGACGGCUAGAAUUUUAAAGCAAAC